rnacentral:tRNA from 1 species
GCGGGUAUAGUUUAGUGGUAGAAUAUCUGCCUUCCAAGCAGAAUACGGGAGUUCGAUUCUCCCUACCCGCACAA